GCAACAAGGCGCUCGGGGACACAAGGUCACUUGGGGGUGGGGGGGCGCCUCCCUGCGCCCGGGGAGGGGCCAGUCCCCAGACAGGGCAGCUCUCCAAAGGCUGUCCUCUGGGACAACUCAGGUUCUCCUCAAGAGAGUACCUAACAAGGCGGAGCUGCACACCAUGGAGAAGCAAGGAAGACCACGGGUGCCUCCCUUCAAAAAGCAUAAACCACCAAGCAAACGAUACACCACAGAAUGGUGCCAAGGGAGAACUACUGAGUGCUAUUUCCCAAUUUCCUGUUACAGAAAAUCCCACUGGUCCCAAGAGAGAACAUAUCCCAAUAGGAUACGUCCUACUGGUCCUUCUAGAGCUGGAAGGUACUUAAAGGAUUUAUGGGUAUAGACUAUGAUCAAGACAAUCUCCUAUCUGUUCCCUUACUAGGGGAUUUUGAUUGAAAAGCAAUGCUCAAAUUAGCGGGGCAUGGUGGCGCAUGCCUGUAAUCCCAGCUACUCAGGAGGCUGAGGCAGGAGAAUUGCCUGAACCCAGGAGGCGGAGGUUGCGGUGAGCCGAGAUCGCGCCAUUGCACUCCAGCCUGGGUAACAAGAGCGAAACUUCAUCUCAAAAAAAAAAAAAACGAAAAGCAA